rnacentral:rRNA from 1 species
AACGAACGCUGGCGGCAUGCCUAACACAUGCAAGUCGAACGAGACCUUCGGGUCUAUUGGCGCACGGGUGCGUAACGCGUUGGAACCUGCCCUUAGGUUCGGAAUAACUCCCCGAAAGGGGUGCUAAUACCGGUUAAUGUCUUCGGACCAAAGAUUUAUCGCCUUUGGAUGGGCCCGCGUUGGAUUAGCUAGUUGGUAGGGUAAAAGCCUACCAAGUCGACGAUCCAUAGCUGGUCUGAGAGGAUGAUCAGCCACACUGGGACUGAGACACGGCCCAGACUACUACGGGAGGCAGCAGUGGGGAAUAUUGGAAAAUGGGCGAAAGCCUGAUCCAGCAAUGCCGCGUGAGUGAUGAAGGCAUUAGGGUAGUAAAGCUCUUUUACACGGGAUGAUAAUGACAGUACCGGGAGAAUAAGCACCGGCUAACUACGUG